UGGUGGUGCCGAAGCCCGUCACUUUUUUUCAAGGAUCUGGCUUGAAUAAACAAGUUCUUGCCCAGGUACCCGUUAUGGUGCUAAUCUGCGUAAGCAGAUUAAGAAGAUGGAGGUGAGUCAACACAACAAGUACUUUUAUGCGUGGAAAUGCUUCUUCUGCUCUAUGUUCUGAGUAUUUCAACAGCAAACCCUAUGCGUGCGAUCCAUCAACUUUUCCAAUAUAUCCACCUAACAAAGAAAUUGAUGCAAAAGGUCGUG